UACGGAGGAUCCAAGGCGUUAUCCGGAAUCAUUGGGUUUAAAGGGUCCGUAGGCGGCCUUAUAAGUCAGUGGUGAAAGCCCCAGUCGCUCAACGAUGGAGCUCGCCAUUGAUACUGUAAGGCUUGAAUUAUUGUGAAGUAACUAGAAUAUGUAGUGUAGCGGUGAAAUGCUUAGAUAUUACAUGGAAUACCAAUUGCGAAGGCAGGUUACUAACAAUGGGAUUGACGCUGAUGGACGAAAGCGUGGGGAGCGAACAGGAUUAGAUACCCCGGUAGU
rnacentral:rRNA from 1 species